CAGCCCGUCAGAUUUUGGCUUCGCGAAACCAAGCAAAAUAAGCACCUUAUCUCCCGCCAUCUUGGCGUUGGCCAAGCCUGUCAAACCAGGGGUUUGAGUAGGGAUCUGGGAUCCAACAGGGCAAAAAAGUAGCUCUUCAGUGAUUCUUUGCUGCCUCUAGAGUGGCCGCUGGGACCAAUGAAUUACACAUUUGGUUUGGUUUGGUUUGGUUCCAGUCCAUUUCUUGGUGUGAUUUCCAGUGGGACCAUGAUUAGAAUGGGAGUGUAAAGUGACUAGAAUUAUUAAAACAUGAGUGAAAUGGGAC
rnacentral:sRNA from 1 species